UAGCGAUUUUCCACCAAUUCCUUUGCCAUUAGUUAGCCAUCGCCGGCGCCCAGACUAAGGCACUAUAAACCAAUACAGCAAGUUGUCGACGAAUAUUAUUCGCAGGAAAUUUAAAUAAUCGAAUAUCUUUUUCUGAUCUAUUGAGUUUACCGCAAUGCAACAAGUUCAGCGGCGGAGUGAGAACAGAGCAAGGGAGAAUAUCAUCAAAGAGAAUAUCACCGCAAUCUCAAUGAUACAAUUUAUAAUUUAUAAAACAU